CACCAAUCAAGCCUGGCUUGGUGUUGGGCCCCGGGGCGACCCGGACCCCAAAGUUCGCCGGCCGGACGACCCGGAUCUCAGCGUUGUGGCAUCAAAACCCGCGGAGAGAUGGGGCGGACGCGCCGUCACAAAACCCAUUUUCAUAAAAGG
rnacentral:misc_RNA from 1 species